CUGUUCGGCCCUUCUCUUCCGAGUAUCUACAACAGAAGACCAGGGACAGAGCUAUCUUUAGUGAACGGGGAGUGGGAAUCGGGAACGGGAGUAGGAAUUGGAAGCUUUGCGGCACAAUGUCCCAUUUGCUGGUGUGUUUGACCAAUGAAAGCUUGAAUGGAUGCCCUCAGCAAACAUCUUUGUGUAAGUAUACCAAGCAGAGCAUCAUUUCAAGUUAAUAUGGAACUGAAUUCUGAUCUUGUAAGCAUGGGACUUGCAUUAUUAUAUUUCAUUUUUUUAAUCCUGUUUCAUUAACCUUCUUCAAUUAUGCAGGUACAUAGAUAGGAGGUUUAGGGUAAAUCAGUUCAUGGUAGUUUUGAUAGAAUGGAAGAUCUCUUAGCUAUUACCGUUUAUCAAUUUGUCUAAUUGUCAUCCUGACUUCACCGAUACUGUUCCUUCACUUAAAUUAGUAAAAUUAUCUUUAUAUUGUUGAAUACAUGCUAUUCUUUUCUCUAUGCUGGGUUGGUUUUUAUAAGUGUGAAUUGGAGAAGAGUGGUGACAAGAAACUUGAAUCUUUAUAUAUCAAGGCUUCUAUCUGGGAGUUUUUGCAUGCAUGCAAAUAAAUCUCCACAAGGAGUUCUGGAAAGGGAACAGACACUGAAUUGGAUAUGCACAUGUGCAGAGUAGCAUUGGAUAAGUGGAGCUGGAUAGAUCAAGGAUGCUAUCUGAGAGCCUCUGCCUGCAUGAAAAUCAAUCUUGACAUGGAUUUGUGGCAAUGACGAGACAUUGACUGGAAAUCAAUGUUCAGAAAAACCUUUGAAAACAUUUCUUCUUUCUUUUACUGAGUUGUAUUAUUAUCUGUGUGGAAGUUAUCUGUUUGGAAGACACAUGACCUGGAUAUACCAAAGCUGCUAUCUGAGAGCUUAGGCCUGCAUGAAAAGCACAGUACAGAAGGAUAUACGUGGGAAAGAAAUGAAUGAAUUGGUAAGGAAGAGAAAUUGAGAGAGCUAGGGUGAGGCAUGGCAUGACUAGGACAGGAGCAGAUGAAGUCUACUUCUGUCAUUCUCAUGCACUGCCUCUUCCCGGGCUCCCCCAACAUAUAUGGAAACCAGUUUCCUUUGAGAUAUUCCAACGAAGUUUUUUUGGUGGAUGUGUACAGCUGCAGUUAAAUUUAGAGCUAGAAGUCAACCUUGAAAGACUCUAAAUUUGGUCUGUUCAAAUAGUAGCCAAAAUCUGGUUUUAAAUAACUGUUAAAAGAUAGUGUUAUUGAAAUCCUUUUGAAUCUAAUGCAAGAAUGUACCAUGUGUAAGAACAGGUGAAAAGUAAUACCAUAAAAACAAUUUCAUCCAAAGAUGAAAACCAUGCCAUGGUUAUAUUUGAAGUUUUUGCAUAUUAUCCCAAACUUAGAAAUUUGAGAAGGAAAAUCACAAUACUCCAUUCCAAUAUUCAGAAAGGACCUGGUCAUGAUAAAUAUACAGUACAAAAAGAAAAUACACUAAAGGGUCUAGGUAAAGUGUGGUAUGAUAGUACAAGUACGGAUGCUAUUAGAAUGAACAACACACCCAAUGUUCUUGAAGUCCAAGUAGUUCCACAUUGGAGCUCUUGGGGUAUCAUUGGAGUAAAUUGUCCAUGAGGGAAAUGUGAAAAUAUCAGCAAUUGUCUUGAGUGUGUUAUCACAAUGUUCAAAGUUAUAAUUGAUAUUUUGAUUGCUAGUACUUCCACCUUACUUAGAUCAAGGCUACAUGCAAAUGGGCUUGUCCAUAUUCAAAGAUUGGGAAAAACCUGUUUUGCUCGAAGUUGCAAGUAAUAUAUUGAGCAUUUUGAUUCCAUG
rnacentral:precursor_RNA from 1 species